GGUGACCUGCGGAGGAUCAUUACCUAGAGUUGUAGGCUUUGCCUGCUAUCUCUUACCCAUGUCUUUUGAGUACCUUACGUUUCCUCGGCGGGUCCGCCCGCCGAUUGGACACUUUAAACCAUUUGCAGUUGCAAUCAGCGUCUGAAAAAACUUAAUAGUUACAACUUUCAACAACGGAUCUCUUGGUUCUGGCAUCGAUGAAGAACGCAGCGAAAUGCGAUAAGUAGUGUGAAUUGCAGAAUUCAGUGAAUCAUCGAAUCUUUGAACGCACAUUGCGCCCCUUGGUAUUCCAUGGGGCAUGCCUGUUCGAGCGUCAUUUGUACCUUCAAGCUUUGCUUGGUGUUGGGUGUUUGUCUCGCCUCUGCGUGUAGACUCGCCUCAAAACAAUUGGCAGCCGGCGUAUUGAUUUCGGAGCGCAGUACAUCUCGCGCUUUGCACUCAUAACGACGACGUCCAAAAGUACAUUUUUACACUCUUGACCUCGGAUCAGGUAGGGAUACCCGCUGAACUUAAG
rnacentral:rRNA from 1 species